rnacentral:rRNA from 1 species
AACAGGCUUCGAUUCCGGAGAGGGAGCCUGAGAACGGCUACCACAUCCAGGAUGGCAGCAGAGCGCGAAAAUUACCCACUCCCGGCACGGGGAGGUAGUGACGAAAAAUACGGAUACGGGACUCAAACGAGGCUCCGUAAUUCGAAUGAGUACAAUUUAAAUCCUUUAACGAGGACCAAUUGGAGGGCAAGUCUGGUGCCAGCAGCCGCGGUAACUCCAGCUCCAAAAGCGUAUAUUAAAGUUGCUGCAGUUAAAAAGCUCGUAGUUGGAUCUGGGUUGUGCGUUCACGCGCCUUUACUUGUUUAUCAGCCUUGGUAAAUGCCCUGGCUGGUGUUCAAUUUGGUGUAGUGGGCGUGCUGCCUUUCACCGUGUCUGUGUAAACGGGUGCUGACUGGUUGAUGACUUGUCUUGUAACUGUGCUGCUUCAAGCCCUUUACGCA